UGCUGGAGGUAUCAGAAGUGCGAAUGCUGACAUAAGUAACGAUAAAGCGGGUGAAAAGCCCGCUCGCCGGAAGACCAAGGGUUCCUGUCCAACGUUAAUCGGGGCAGGGUGAGUCGACCCCUAAGGCGAGGCCGAAAGGCGUAGUCGAUGGGAAACAGGUUAAUAUUCCUGUACUUGGUGUUACUGCGAAGGGGGGACGGAGAAGGCUAUGUUAGCCGGGCGACGGUUGUCCCGGUUUAAGCAUGUAGGCUGGUUAUCCAGGCAAAUCCGGAUAAUCAAGGCUGAGGUGUGAUGACGAGGCACUACGGUGCUGAAGUAACAAAUGCCCUGCUUCCAGGAAAAGCCUCUAAGC
rnacentral:rRNA from 1 species